GCUGGUAUCCUGGUAAUAAAGUGAGGCAAAGAGAGAAGAAAAUAAAGGAAAAGAAAAAGAAGUGUCUUGGAGAGACAAGUCAUGGAAGGCAAAUGAACAUUCAUGAAGCUCUUUUAAAUAGGAUAUGUUGGAUUGUGUUUCCUGGGUGCAAAAGUUUGACUACUUUAACAAAGAUUCUGCUUCUUAUGUUUCCAUUUUGAUUUGUUCUCUCUGAUAUUUCUUUCUCUUUCUUCCCCAUGUUUUUAAACACCAACCUUUAUGGUUUUUUAAAGGCUAAAGGAGGUUGUACG